AAGCCACUUCAGAAUGUGAUUACAGCAAUGAGAGGUGUUCUCAGUAAAGCAGAACUCCAAUGUGUACUCACUGGUUCGAGGUCUUUCCACUGCGUAUUGUGUUAGCACCCUCGGGCAUUCAACAACUUGAAAACUGGAUUGAAAAUGAGAGACAGAGCAGCCACUGCAGAAGCUUCCAAAAUCACUCUGCACUUUCUUGAACUGCUGCAAUCCACGUGGUGAUGUGGCUCCCAUGUUGCAAAUUGGUCGAUGAUAUCCUUUGAAGAACAGGAGAUCUGAAGUGGACACAUUACUCCAGAAGAGGCCUCACUGAUGUUCUGCACAAUUUCAACAUGACGUCCCACCUCCUGUACUCAAAAGGAAAUUUGAAAGGGAACAUUUACUGACAGGCAGCUCAACUCAAACACUGGAUCAAAAACUGCCAGGAACACUUAAUUCUCAGGAGCUUUGAACAUGGAAGGAACAAGCAUCGUUUACAGUGAAGAGAAACCAUACAUGUGGUCUGUAUGGACAAGCCUUCAGUCAGUUCUCUGUCCUGUCAGUACGUAAAUGCAGUCAAAACAGGGUGACAACAAUGACAUCAAGCAGCACUUGCUUUGCAAUAUCAUAGUGAUGGAUCUCAGUUUGAGUUAAGCAAGGGCCACUCAUCUCCUCUCCUCCCUACAUUCUUGGUGCAAACAUGGACCAAACAGCUGAAUUCCAAAUGUGAGAGUGACUAUCCACUAUCCUAAGACUCCCUUUGACAGAGCAUUGUAUUAAGGAAUCAUGACAAAGCUAAAUUCAAGAGGAACCAGAGAAUAUUAUUCUUCCUUGGAUAGCCGGUUUUUGAAAGCAUUGUGUCUUCAGACCUCAGUAGAUUGAAACAAGGUGAGUUUAUUCAAACUUGUGCCACAUACACGUGGAAGAGGUCUAUAAGUCGAGCAUGGAGACACUUCCAUUUACAGCUACUCAGAAACAGCAGAUGAAGGCAUUUUCACGUCAGAAUGGUUGCAUGUAACAUUGAUAUAAAAUAAAUUUAUAUGUCAGUUACUUAAUAAAACAGGAUGCUGUUCAGUUUCUGACAAAGUUCUGAGUCUUCUAAUUUCAACAGGACUGCCACUUCCAUACUAUCUUCAGAGCUUCUCUACCCCACCAUCAGCUCACAGCUGGGUGAGUAAUACUAACAUGACUAUCAUAAGCUGUACAUAUAGUUUCAGAGCCCUAAGUUACUGUUGAUGUUUCGCUGUUAUGGACCUGCAGUUAAACUGUCUGUGAGAUGUUAGUGUGAAAACAUCCCAUUCAUUUAUAUACUUCUAUAAAUUAAAGCCUUUUAUCAGCAUUUGAUUCCUACACAGAGACUUUAAUUAAGAGAAGUAAACUCUUAACUACCUUCACAUCGGUAUGCAGACACUACCCUGAAGCUUCCUGCCCAGCUAGGAAUUCAGUGUAAAGCUUUUGUAACUCCUUUUCUUCUCACACAUCGGUAUGCAGACACUGUCUUAAGCUUCCUGACUGAAUUAAAAUUAGAAGCAAACUGUUUCAGAUAGGGUUAGGUGGGGAAAUUUUGUAAAGGUGUGAAACCUCUGAAGCAUGUAACUUCUGUCGCUGACAAAGGGGACAGGGCACUGAUUUGGUUCUAGCCAGUCACACUGGCAACUUGAAAUCAGAAACUGUCCCGGACAACAACUCAAAAUCGCCUCCUGCCAUUAGCAGCCACUUCACUCGCAAUCGAUACUAUAUCCUGGUCUUUUAUGUUGUUGAUGUAAUAAUUGCUUGGUAUCCUGUUUUUGUCUGUUGUAGUAAUUGUUUUAUGUAUCAUGCCAUUGUAAAUUGUGAAAUCGUUUUAUGUAUCAUGUCUUUUGUAAAGUAUAAAAAGCGGGGACUGUCCGCGGC